CACGAACGCUGGCGGCAGGCUUAACACAUGCAAGUCGGGCGCCCCGCAAGGGGAGCGGCAGACGGGUGAGUAACGCGUGGGAAUCUACCCAUCUCUACGGAAUAACGCAUGGAAACGUGUGCUAAUACCGUAUACGUCCUUCGGGCGAAAGAUUUAUCGGAGAUGGAUGAGCCCGCGUUGGAUUAGCUAGUUGGUGGGGUAAAGGCCUACCAAGGCGACGAUCCAUAGCUGGUCUGAGAGGAUGAUCAGCCACACUGGGACUGAGACACGGCCCAGACUCCUACGGGAGGCAGCAGUGGGGAAUAUUGGACAAUGGGCGCAAGCCUGAUCCAGCCAUGCCGCGUGGGUGAUGAAGGCCCUAGGGUUGUAAAGCUCUUUCACCGGUGAAGAUAAUGACGGUAACCGGAGAAGAAGCCCCGGCUAACUUCGUGCCAGCCGCCGCAGUAAUAC
rnacentral:rRNA from 1 species